rnacentral:rRNA from 1 species
GACGAACGCUGGCGGCGUGCUUAACACAUGCAAGUCGAACGGAAAGGCCCUGCUUUUGUGGGGUGCUCGAGUGGCGAACGGGUGAGUAACACGUGAGUAACCUGCCCUUGACUUUGGGAUAACUUCAGGAAACUGGGGCUAAUACCGGAUAGGAGCUCCUGCUGCAUGGUGGGGGUUGGAAAGUUUCGGCGGUUGGGGAUGGACUCGCGGCUUAUCAGCUUGUUGGUGGGGUAGUGGCUUACCAAGGCUUUGACGGGUAGCCGGCCUGAGAGGGUGACCGGCCACAUUGGGACUGAGAUACGGCCCAGACUCCGACGGGAGGCAGCAGUGGGGAAUAUUGCACAAUGGGCGGAAGCCUGAUGCAGCAACGCCGCGUGCGGGAGGACGGCCUUCGGGUGGUAAACCGCUUUCGCCUGUGACGAAGCGUGAGUGACGGUAAUGGGUAAAGAAGCACCGGCGAACUACGU